UACGAAGGGGGCUAGCGUUGUUCGGAAUCACUGGGCGUAAAGGGUGCGUAGGCGGGUCUUUAAGUCAGAGGUGAAAUCCUGGAGCUCAACUCCAGAACUGCCUUUGAUACUGAGGAUCUUGAGUACGGGAGAGGUGAGUGGAACUGCGAGUGUAGAGGUGAAAUUCGUAGAUAUUCGCAAGAACACCAGUGGCGAAGGCGGCUCACUGGCCCGUUACUGACGCUGAGGCACGAAAGCGUGGGGAGCAAACAGG
rnacentral:rRNA from 1 species